CUUGAUCGACCCCAGCCACAGCGGACGGUCGGCCUCGCGGUCCUGCCCGUAGGUCGCGAGCAGCGCCUGCGCCUC
rnacentral:antisense_RNA from 1 species